GAUGAACGCUGGCGGCGUGCCUAAUACAUGCAAGUCGAGCGAACAGACGAGGAGCUUGCUUCUCUGACGUUAGCGGCGGACGGGUGAGUAACACGUGGAUAACCUACCUAUAAGACUGGGAUAACUUCGGGAAACCGGAGCUAAUACCGGAUAAUAUGUUGAACCGCAUGGUUCAACAGUGAAAGACGGUCUUGCUGUCACUUAUAGAUGGAUCCGCGCUGCAUUAGCUAGUUGGUAAGGUAACGGCUUACCAAGGCAACGAUGCAUAGCCGACCUGAGAGGGUGAUCGGCCACACUGGAACUGAGACACGGUCCAGACUCCUACGGGAGGCAGCAGUAGGGAAUCUUCCGCAAUGGGCGAAAGCCUGACGGAGCAACGCCGCGUGAGUGAUGAAGGUCUUCGGAUCGUAAAACUCUGUUAUUAGGGAAGAACAUAUGUGUAAGUAACUGUGCACAUCUUGACGGUACCUAAUCAGAGAGCCACGGCUAACUACGUG
rnacentral:rRNA from 1 species